UCACGAAUGGUAGAAUCUGGCUGGGAACGCAGAUCUGUAGCAGCAGUCGGUUCCCAACUCGGUGCUGAAAUUUCCUCUCUCGUUAAGGUACGUGGCAGGAUCUCAACAAGCAGACGGUAAAUGCCGUCAUCAAAUUCGAAGGUGUCGGCUGCCAAACGAAAGGUGAGGUUAAUCCAGCCAGCCAGCCAGCCAGCCACAGCCUAAGGUCACCUUAGUUUCUCGUUUCUCCUUAAUCAUUGACUGUUUGCUCAGCUUUUUUUCUCUCCCUUCGCUUUUCUGCAACGGUUGCCAUCCUACUAGGAUAAUUGCUGUUCACAAUAGCUGUUUACAGUAAAACCUGAUCUCUCAAAGAGCUUUAAACGACUUCCCUUUCCCAGAAGUUUCAUGCUUGCUGAGGUGGGACGGUUGCGUGGACUGCGCAGCGCUAGAGGGUCGCAGCGAGCUGGAGCCUAACCAGGCAACACAGGGCAUAAGGCUGAUGGAGAAGGGGACACGCCAAGGACAGGGCGCCAGUCCAUCACACGGCACCCCAAGCGGGACUCGAACCCCAGACCCGCCAGAGAGCAGGACCCAGCCAAAUCCGCCGCUCCACUGCGCCUCCCCGUGGAAAAUAUAGAAAACAUCAAAACUGGGUAAUAGAGCCCCUGUACCCGUGGACCAUGUCAUUGACUACUGUUAGUCCUGCUACCCUCGCGUCCUGCAACGUGCCAGCUGGACCUCUCCGGAACGUUUGACGGCAACAGCUGGGAGGUGUUUGUGCGCCUUGUUUUGCUGAGCUAGGUGAUCUACGGCAGGCUGGCCGACUGAUCCCCUCACUGGAGGUUUUUGAGGACUGAUGGGCCUGGUAGCUGGGACAGAAUCCAGGAGGUUUGUCUCCCCCCUCCACCACCCACCCCUACUUCAUAUGGUUGUUGUGCUGCUGUGACUUUGAUCGAGGGUGUCCUU